UACGUAGGGGGCAAGCGUUGUCCGGAUUUAUUGGGCGUAAAGAGCGUGUAGGCGGUUUGGUAGGUCCGUUGUGAAAACUCGGGGCUUAACCCCGGGCCUGCAGUGGGUACGGGCAGACUAGAGUGCGGUAGGGGAGACUGGAAUUCCUGGUGUAGCGGUGAAAUGCGUAGAUAUCGAGAGGAACACCUGCGGCGAAGGCGGGUUGCUGGGCCGACACUGACGCUGAUGCGCGAAAGCCAGGGGAGCGAACGGG
rnacentral:rRNA from 1 species